UCCUGAAUAAACUACUUGGAGAAGAGUUCCUGUGCAGUGCCUUCCUUGCUGGUCGAGGUGGUCGCGACAAGUGGUGGCCCGUACGGGGAAACCGAGGACUCAGAACUCCUUGUAGUCAGGGCAGUGCACUGCUUUGUCGAAAUAUCUUACAGGGAAUUGGUCUGCUGAUUUUGAGGUUACCAUGCGAGAGUUGAGACUGGCUAUAGUCCAUGUGAAUUCCCCUAGAGUCGAUCUUUCGUUGGCUACAGGAUGGACAUCGUGGAUCCUCUCUGCAAUGAAUCAUCUCAAGGAGUGGGUGGGCAUUGGGGCGGUAGCGUGCCUUCUGAUGCUGGCCUCCCUGGUGGGCCUGUGGGUUUUGUGUCGGAUGAGGGUUACACACAAUAGAGACAAGGCCAUGAUUAUUCAAGCAUUCACAGCAAUUGAAGCUGGACAAUCCCCUCAAGCAUGGCUUGCCGCCAUGAAAUUUUAAAGCGUCCUGUUCAGGCUGCACGGCUGAGCACUGCACAUGAGGUUCACUGACUGCUGAUAGUGAUCUCAUGGAGAGCAUGUCUGAUAACAUGCAGGUUUGUACCACCCUUCCCCAAUCAAUUCCCUCUCUACCUCCCGCCUCCGAAAAAAAUGGUACUGGACGGGUUGGGCUCAGGUUGGGCUGAGAGGCCUGACGCAGAGUCCGUACAAGGUCCUGAGUUGGUUGCCGGAGAUCAGACCUCUACUCUCGUCUGUUUCAUUCUAAAACAAAAAGGGGGAACUGUGGAGAGCUGCGUGUGCCAUGCCCUAAAGAUGGUGCCGGUUUCCGCCUUCCACCAUCCCGACGCGAGUGCUCUCGGGAUAAACAACUUCUUAUUGGCUGUGGUGUGUCUGAUGAUCUGCCGUCUACCUAUCCGCACUUCCCACGUAGCUUCCUGGGAUUGGUUGGCUCCAGGGUACUUAUUACUGGGGAGGGCUCUCCCUGGGGUCAGAAGAUUGCUCAACCUUCCUGAAUAAACUACUUGGAGAAGAGUUCAUGUGCCGUGCCUUCCUUGCUGGUCGAGGUGGUCGCGACACAGGGGGAAGCAGCUAAGAAAACUGUACCCUUCUCCCACUAACCCUCUCUCUCUCCUACCUGGUAUUGGGGUGUUAGAAGGGAUUGGAGAGGAGUAAGGAAAAUAAGAUAUAAGAAAUAUAAAUAAAAUUUUUUUAAAAAAGUAUGCUAACAAAUGGCACCCUUUAAAAUAACGGCUAAUAUGGUACAGGAGACAAUAGGCUACGGAGAGAUGACUAUACUGAUUCAGGAUACGAGUAUAAGGUUUACUGAGGCUGCUCCUGCUGGUUUCAAUCCUGCUUUCCUCCUAGAAGGGAUUCUCUGGUUUUGCUUCAUCCUCUUCCUGCGUCCCAUUUUAAAGAAGUUUGGGAGAAUGGUUGAACAAUUAGAAAGGAGUGCAAAGUUUGCAAUGCACCUAGAAAAUUAGCUGGUAAAGGUUGAAGUGCCUGGAAAGCAAAAAGCAUCGCUGGUAAAGGGAGAACACCUGGUAACUAAGAGCUGGAAUUCUCCACAAUUGCUGCCCAGUCCUGCUCUGCACACUUUUGGUGUCACAUUCCCACAGACUCUAGGCAGGCUGGGGAGAAGAAGGCUGUACAUUCUGAAAAUAUUAAAGGCAAAAAGCCUGUUUUAAGAAAACAGGUUAAUCUUGAGGAAACUGAGCUGCCAGAUGAGCAGCCCCAGAUUAAGAGAUUAAUACUAUUAGCUUUCCCAGUAGCUGGCAAAAGUUUUAGAUAUCAAAAUGCUCAGUGCAGCCUCAGAGCUUAAAAUGGCUGUGCAUUAACUGAGAAGUACAGUAGUUCCUGCCAGGGAAGGAAAUGAGCUGUUUCUGGCAGCACUGGGUUCUCUGCAAGAAUGCCUGGGUAACUUCUGGCCAUUAGGAACCUAGCUUGAGGCUCAACAGCAAAAAGUUUGAGUUGAUCCAGACAAGAGCAGCUGAAAAUCAUCAGAUUAUAAAAGAAAUUAUUGGUUCAAAGGGUUUGGUUCCUUGAUUAUCUUCUUUUAAGAAAGCAACAGUAAGUUUCGUUUAUAUUAAAAGAAAAGUUUUUUUUUUUUUUAACGGAAAGAGGGAAAAUGUUCUGGAUAAAAACAUGUUUUUGUUUUAAUCCCUUUAAUCCCAGGUGUGGAAUGUAAGAUUGAUUUAAAUGGUCCACAGUAGUGGACUAUUUGCCUCAUGCGGGCCCUGAGAGGAGCUCUUUGCCAGCUGCAGAUAGUUUAAAUCUGAGGACUCUGAAGAGAGAAUAAAUGCCAGUCCCCAGAAAAUGUGGGGAUCAGAAUAAGAACAAAGCUGCUCCUGCUUCCCCCACGGUUCCUGGUUGCUGUUGUGAGAUGAGAAGUUGGAAAUACCCUGAAACAAGGACUGGACUGGCUCCAAGGAACCUGACGACCCUAACCAGCUGAAGCAGCUAAGAGAACUGUGCCCCCAUCUCCCACUAACCCUUUCUCCUCCCUGUUGUUGGGAUGUUGGAAGGGAUUGAGGUGGAGCAGGGAGAAAAAGAUACAAGAAACAAAAAUAAAAGUUUUUUAAAAACUA